rnacentral:rRNA from 1 species
GACGAACCGUGCGAACGUUGUUCGGAAUCACUGGGCUUAAAGGCGCGUAGGCGGGCUGCCAAGUCUGGGGUGAAAUCCCACGGCUCAACCGUGGAACUGCCUCGGAUACUGGCGGCCUCGAGGGGGGUAGGGGCGUGCGGAACUGUGGGUGGAGCGGUGAAAUGCGUUGAUAUCCACAGGAACGUCCGGUGGCGAAGGCGGCACGCUGGACCUCUUCUGACGCUGAGGCGCGAAAGCCAGGGAGCAAAGCGGG